rnacentral:lncRNA from 1 species
CAAAGAGUAAAUACCAGGAAGUCCAGUUAAACCAGAUGAUCAGAAAAAAGCCUCUUAGGGGAGGUGUUACUGAACUUGAGAUUUAAUUUACAAGAAGGAACUUGUUGCAUCAAGAGCAGGGGAAAGUGCAUUCUAGGCAGAGAAAACAACCAGUGCAAAAGCCUAAGUGUGGUGGGGCAAGAACACAAGGAGGGAAACCAGUGAAGACGAUGUUACAGUAAUCCAGGCCAGAGAUGAUGAUGGUUCUGACCAGAAUAGUAACAAUGGAGAUGAAGAGAAAUGGAGGUGGAAAAUGUCCAUCUGUUUUGAGGAUAAAGGCAACAGCAGUGGCAAGAAGACAAGCAGGGAAAGAUGUCCUCGAGUUUUGUCAGUAUGCCUGGGUGCCAUCUUUGCUCUUCUCCAAAGACAGAACAACAAUCACUUCACCCUGGGUCAACAGUGGUCAAUCAGCAGAGAUAAAUAUUCCCUGAGAAGUGCAGAGGUGCUGCGGGAGAGCCCCGGCAGGAUCUCAUGGCUGCACUACUCCAUAAAGACUCAGUGUUGUACUUCGGAAACUCAAGCUCUUCGACUGGCACAUGCUAAAGCUGAUAGGUGGAAGGAACCGUAAUCCAAGGGUGCUAAGAGUUCUGCCCACAUCCUGUGCCCUCUCAGCAGUGGCUCUCAAAGGGAAAACUCAAAAUCGACUCAGUGAAGCUGGUGCUUCAGCAGAUUCCAGGCCCAGAGUCCGCCUCGCGUGUAUGCCGCUCACAGUAGCCAUGAUUUGCAUCAAGUAGCAUCAUACCUUGGAUUUGUUUUAGACCAUGGAGCAACCUCAGCUCAUUACCAGCAAGAAAACUGUGACUCUGGUGCCGUGCUUGACCACAGCUGCAGUGGACUUCCAGGCUCCAUUAACUCCGCAGCCCCCAGGACCCUUCCGUGACAGCCUGUGCGGCUACAUCAAGUGGCUCUUCACUGAACUCCUGAGAGCCUAAGGAUCUGUGAAGAAUGUUGGACAAAAUAAAAGGAUGAAAGACAUAAAUUAUGCAUUUGAAAGCAAAGAAGUUGUCAGUUCCUUGUUCUCUGGAUUUUUAUUGAAUCUUGCUUUGCAUUCCUUUGCUCUGCUAUGUAUCCUCUUCCUCCCCCUCCUUCACUCUCUAAAUCUACACACAUACACACACACACACAUACAUCUGUGUGGUAUUGUGGGAAGAAUAUUAUUAAUAAGUCCAAAGACUCACACUUUCUAGUACUGGCACCAACUCUUAUGAGCUGUGCAGUCUCAACAAAUCACCUAACCUUUCUGAUCCUCCAUUUCCUCAACCUUGAAAUUGGAAAAGCACUAUCAUCUUGCAGGAUUGAUGCGAGGACUAAAUGAAAUGAUGAAAUUUAAGCACAUUGAAAACUAUAAACCUUUAGUCUGUGUACUCCCAAAACAUAGUGCUGUCAACAUGUUCC